AUUGAACGCUGGCGGCAUGCCUUACACAUGCAAGUCGAACGGCAGCACGGGAGCAAUCCUGGUGGCGAGUGGCGAACGGGUGAGUAAUAUAUCGGAACGUGCCCAGUCGUGGGGAUAACGUAGCGAAAGCUACGCUAAUACCGCAUACUAUCUAUGGAUGAAAGCGGGGGAUUGCAAGACCUCGCGCGAUUGGAGCGGCCGAUAUCAGAUUAGGUAGUUGGUGAGGUAAAGGCUCACCAAGCCGACGAUCUGUAGCUGGUCUGAGAGGACGACCAGCCACACUGGGACUGAGACACGGCCCAGACUCCUACGGGAGGCAGCAGUGGGGAAUUUUGGACAAUGGGCGCAAGCCUGAUCCAGCAAUGCCGCGUGCAGGAUGAAGG
rnacentral:rRNA from 1 species